rnacentral:rRNA from 1 species
AAUAUGCUGACGUAAGUAGCGAUCAUGUUGGUGAGAAUCCAACACGCCGAAAGCUCAAGGGUUCCUGGGCCAGGUUCGUCUCCCAGGGUUAGUCGGGUCCUAAGCCGAGGCCGAAAGGCGUAGGUGAUGGAAAGCAGGUCAACAUUCCUGCACCGAACAGGAUGGCUGUGAAACGAGAAGGGACGAAGGAGGGUAGUUCAGCCACCCGUUGGAUGGUGGUUCAAGCCCGUAGGCUGAGUGGGUAGGAGGCUUCGUGCCACAAACGCCCAUUCUUAGGCCGAGAGGUGAUGAGGACAGGCUCAUACCGAGCCGCAAAACUGAACGAUCCCAUGCUUCCAGGAAAAUCUUCGCGUGGAGCCACUUGGACGCCCGUACCGGAAACCGACACAGGUGAGCUAGGAGAGAAUCCUAAGGUGCUUGAGAGAACUCUGGCCAAGGAACUCGGCAAAUUGACACCGUAACUUCGGGAGAAGGUGUGCCCUUAGUAAGUCACGUCGCACAGACUAGCUGAAAAGGGUUGCAGAGAACAGGGGG